rnacentral:rRNA from 1 species
ACUCCUACGGGAGGCAGCAGUAGGGAAUCUUCCACAAUGGGCGCAAGCCUGAUGGAGCAACACCGCGUGAGUGAAGAAGGGUUUCGGCUCGUAAAGCUCUGUUGUUAAAGAAGAACACGUAUGAGAGUAACUGUUCAUACGUUGACGGUAUUUAACCAGCAAGUCACGGCUAACUACGUGCCAGCAGCCGCGGUAAUACGUAGGUGGCAAGCGUUAUCCGGAUUUAUUGGGGCGUAAAGAGAGUGCAGGCGGUUUUCUAAGUCUGAUGUGAAAGCCUUCGGCUUAACCGGAGAAGUGCAUCGGAAACUGGAUAACUUGAGUGCAGAAGAGGGUAGUGGAACUCCAUGUGUAGCGGUGGAAUGCGUAGAUAUAUGGAAGAACACCAGUGGCGAAGGCGGCUACCUGGUCUGCAACUGACGCUGAGACUCGAAAGCAUGGGUAGCGAACAGGAUUAGAUACCCUGGUAGGAUAGCG